AUCCUGACCUCCUGCCCCUUCAGAAGCGUCCCUGCAGCUCCUGCCUGCACCUGGCAGGGAGCACCGCUACAGAGUUUGCUGCUGUACCGGCUCAGAAACGGGAGUUCCCGGCACAGGGCCAUCGGCGAGCCUCCCAGCUGGAGUGUGGGCAGAGGCAGACACUGGGGCUGCAGGGGAGUGGCCCCCAGGGUGUGAAUAGGAGGGCAUCCUGCAGGCUCCAGACAUUGCCAUGCGUGUUGCUGUGAUUAACCCCCAAACCCAGCUCCAUCAUUCAUUCACUCCUUCAUUUGUUCAUCCUAUUGUCCCAGGAGCUGGGCUAUAACAGAAAGGAGACAGGCCACAGACAGACAGGCAAGGCCAUCCCAGGCAGUGAGAGGCGACGUGAACUCUGUGAACUGAGAUGAUGAGGAAGAGAGGAGAAGGGCGGGGCCGCUUUAGAAAGGCUGCUGGGGAUGUCCUGUUUGAGGAGGUGACCCUGUCACUGGAGCCAAGCCAAGAGCUGGGGAAGAGCAUGUCAGGCCCCAAGAACUGCAGGUGCAAAGGCCCUGAGGCAGGACCCUAGCAGGACCCUAGCAGGUGCAGGUGCAGGUGCAAAGGUCCUAAGGCAGGACCUGAGCAGGUGCAGGUGCAAAGGCCCUGAGGCAGGACCUGAGCAGAUGCAGGUGCAAAGGCCCUGAGGCGGGACCUGAGCAGGUACGGGUGCAAAGGCCCUGAGGCAGGACCCGAGCAGGCAUGUCUGAGGGUCAUAGGAAGCCUGUGUGCCUGGAGCAGAGGGUACAA
rnacentral:lncRNA from 10 species